GCCUCUUCGGCUCCACCCUCGGCGUCUCAGGCUUCUUGGCCUGACCCUGCUGGGGCUGGGCUGGCGACCCUGUGUCUGCAUUCUCUCGGGGACCGGGGCCCCGGGAGACCUGUGGGCCGCGUUGGGUCCGCUCCUGCCCUCCCUCCCCGCCCCCCGGGCCCGUCGGAGGAGCAGUGGGGCCUUCUAGAAGGUCCUGGAAGUAGACAGUGAGCUCCGCGGGGAGAUUUGGAGAAGGGGGAAGGAGGGUGGCAACCGCCCCUCCCCGCGCCGCCUUCAGCCCCAGUCCGGGCCUCCCCGCACUUUUGCCCCCCUUCCCGUGAGCGUUGCCCUCCCAGGACCCCAACGUGUGGCGGUUCUCGUCCCCGGCCGCAGUGUGCUGUGCGGAAAGGGCCUCUGAGGACGUUUCUGGGCCGGUUGGCGGCCAAGCACGGUCACCCCCUCCCCACAUACGCAGGGUGUGCGCCGCCCGCAGGGGCGUCCUGUUCUGCUCCAGGGCGACGUGGGGUUGGCAUCAGCUGGGGCCCUUCUGUUACGUGGGGGAGGUAGGUCAAGGUGAGCCCCACAAAGAGAGGGUGGCUCCUCUGGAAGUGCAUGGGCCCAGGAGCCCUCCCUCCCUGUGGCUGAACACCUGCCCAGCUUGUGCCGACAUGCUGAGACACACGGACGAGGAAGGAUCCCAAGCCCCAGCCCGGAGAAGCUUCUGUGUUAGCACCUCCUUGCCCUCCAAACUGCCCUGCCAGGGAGGUCUCCCGGCGCCUGGGUGCUGCUACUGCCUGCGCCGUCCAGCCCAGGACACAGCCACCCAGCCCCUGGGAGACAGCUGUGCUCGGCCAGCCCUUGCCCUGGUUGGUCUUUGUGUUUUCAGGUCCAGGGGUGGCCUGUCGUCUAGCUGGAAUGCUGGAUCAGGGCACUCGCCAUCUUAUUGCUGUGGGAACAGGUCCUCUCCAGAAGAGUCGCCUGCCAGUGUGGAAGCUUCUUGCCUUUGUUUCCAUGCCUCUCCUGUGCCUCUUCUGCUUGCGACCUGUGGGCUCCUGCUUCUUGAUUUGUGCCUGCCUUCUCUAUGA
rnacentral:lncRNA from 1 species